GAUGAACGCUGGCGGCGUGCCUAAUACAUGCAAGUCGAGCGAACGGACGAGAAGCUUGCUUCUCUGAUGUUAGCGGCGGACGGGUGAGUAACACGUGGAUAACCUACCUAUAAGACUGGGAUAACUUCGGGAAACCGUAGCUAAUACCGGAUAAUAUUUUGAACCGCAUGGUUCAAAAGUGAAAGACGGUCUUGCUGUCACUUAUAGAUGGAUCCGCGCUGCAUUAGCUAGUUGGUAAGGUAACGGCUUACCAAGGCAACGAUGCAUAGCCGACCUGAGAGGGUGAUCGGCCACACUGGAACUUAGACACGGUCCAGACUCCUACGGGAGGCAGCAGUAGAGAAUCUUCCGCGAUGGGCGAAAGCCUGACGGGGCAACGCCGCGUGAGUGAUGAAGGUCUUCGGAUCGUAAAACUCUGUUAUUAGGGAAGAACAUAUGUGUAAGUAACUGUGCACAUCUUGACGGUACCUAAUCAGAAAACCACGGCUAACUACGUG
rnacentral:rRNA from 1 species